CACGUAGGGGGCGAGCGUUGUCCGGAUUUAUUGGGCGUAAAGAGCUCGUAGGCGGUUUCGUAAGUCGGAUGUGAAAACUCCAGGCUCAACUUGGAGACGCCAUUCGAUACUGCGAUGACUUGAGUCCGGUAGGGGAGUGUGGAAUUCCUGGUGUAGCGGUGAAAUGCGCAGAUAUCAGGAGGAACACCGGUGGCGAAGGCGGAUCUCUGGGCCAUUACUGACGCUGAGGAGCGAAAGCGUGGGGAGCGAACAGG
rnacentral:rRNA from 1 species